AACAACCUGGCGCAGGGGGGCCCAUCAGUACCUAUAGUAUAGGGGCCCAGGAUUUGGUGCUACGGCCCUGGCCCUACAGCAUGGUUUAUGAAGGGUCCGAUGACUUGGUGAGGUUACAUCAUGCUAUCAUCAGGUCUCCAAGCCGAUCUACCGCUAAUAUUUAAUUUACAAAUGUGUUUUAUAGAUAUUGUUUUAUAUUAUGGUUUUGGAUGUGUUAAUGCAGUAAGGUUUCUUUCUAUAUUUUCCCUGUCCCCAUCUUAUCAGACCCUCGGCCAUACAAACAAAAUAACUAUAAAAAACAGGAUUUAAUUAA